rnacentral:rRNA from 1 species
UACGUAGGUGGCAAGCGAUACUCGGAAUCACUAGGCGUAAAGCGCAGGUAGGCGGUUUGGUAAGUCUUUUGUGAAAGCUCCCGGCUUAACUGGGAGAGGUCAAAGGAAACUACCAGACUAGAGUGUGGUAGGGGAUACUGGAAUUCCUGGUGUAGCGGUGAAAUGCGUAGAUAUCAGGAGGAAUACCUAUGGCGAAGGCAGCCCCCUGGGAUAACACUGACGCUCAUGCACGAAAGCGUGGGGAGCAAACAGG